GACGAAGGAUGCAAGCGUUAUCCGGAUUCAUUGGGUUUAAAGGGAGCGUAGGUGGUCUUAUAAGUCAGUGGUGAAAUCUCUGGGCUUAACCCAGAAAUUGCCAUUGAUACUGUAGGACUUGAGUAUAGUUGCCUUGGCGGAAUAUGACAUGUAGUGGUGAAAUACAUAGAGAUGUCAUAGAACACCGAUUGCGAAGGCAGCUAACGAAACUAUAAACUGACACUGAGGCUCGAAAAGUGCGGGGGAUCAAAACAGGA
rnacentral:rRNA from 1 species